AUUGAACGCUGGCGGCAUGCUUUACACAUGCAAGUCGAACGGCAGCGCGGGCUUCGGCCUGGCGGCGAGUGGCGAACGGGUGAGUAAUGCAUCGGAACGUGCCCAGUAGUGGGGGAUAGCCCGGCGAAAGCCGGAUUAAUACCGCAUACGACCUGAGGGUGAAAGCGGGGGACCGAAAGGCCUCGCGCUAUUGGAGCGGCCGAUGUCGGAUUAGCUAGUUGGUGGGGUAAAGGCUUACCAAGGCGACGAUCCGUAGCUGGUCUGAGAGGACGACCAGCCACACUGGAACUGGGCCACGGCCCAGACUCCUACGGGAGGGAGCAGUGGGGAAUUUUGGACAAUGGGGGCAACCCUGAUCCAGCCGUGCCGCGUGCGGGAAGAAGGCCUUCGGGUUGUAAACCGCUUUUGUUCGGGAAGAAAUCCUCUGGGCUAAUACCCCGGGGGGAUGACGGUACCGGAAGAAUAAGCACCGGCUAACUACGUG
rnacentral:rRNA from 1 species